GACGUCAAGUCAUCAUGGCCCUUAUGUCCAGGGCUACACACGUGCUACAAUGGGCGGCACAAAGCGAAGCGAGCCGAGAGGNNAGCGAACCGCCGAAAGCCGGCCGUAGUCCGGAUUGAAGUCUGAAACCCGACUUCAUGAAGCUGGAAUCGCUAGUAAUCGCGCAUCAGCAUGGCGCGGUGAAUACGUUCCCGGGCCUU
rnacentral:rRNA from 1 species